rnacentral:rRNA from 1 species
UGGAGCAUGUGGUUUAAUUCGAUGCAACGCGAAAAACCUUACCACUCCUUGACAUGGAAAUUAUACCUAUUCGAAGGGAUAGGGUCGGUUCGGCCGGGUUUCACACAGGUGUUGCAUGGCUGUCGUCAGCUCGUGUCGUGAGAUGUUGGGUUAAGUCCCGCAACGAGCGCAGCCCUCAUCCUUAGUUACCAUCAGGUAAUGCUGGGGACUUUAAGGAGACUGCCAGUGAUAAACUGGGGGAAGGUGGGGAUGAUGUCAAGUCAUCAUGGCCCUUAUGGAGUGGGCUACACACGUGCUACAAUGGUGGCUACAAUGGGCUGCAAAGUCGCGAGGCUAAGCCAAUCCCUUAAAAGCCAUCUCAGUUCGGAUUGUACUCUGCAACUCGAGUGCAUGAAGUUGGAAUCGCUAGUAAUCGUGGAUCAGCACGCCACGGUGAAUACGUUCUCGGGUCUUGUACACACUGCCCGUCACGCCAUGGGAAUUGGUUUCACUCGAAGCUAACGACCUAACCGCAAGGAGGGAGUUAUUUAAAGUGGGAUCGGUGACUGGGGUG